UUAACUCAAAUUUGUAUGGAAAUGUAACGUUUGCCUGCGUUUGCCGCUAGGGGCGUAGUUCCAACUCCACAAAAAUUUGAGUUA
rnacentral:pre_miRNA from 1 species